CUCCAUUAUUCGCAUCUUUCAACAAACCAACAGAAUGCAACAUCUUCCACCCUCUGGGGGAAGAGGAAAGAUCCUCAAUAAUGAUCAAGAGCUUGCCAUUGUAGAAAUGGUUGUUGCAAAUAAUGCAAUAAAACUGCAUGAAAUUAAAACUAGAAUUGUGGAGGACCAUGAGAUAUUUGGCAAUAUAGAAAGCAUCAGCCUCACAACCAUUAGACGGACAUUGUCCAAACACAGAGUGCGGAUGAAGCAGCUCUACACUGUUCCCUUCAGAGGAACAGUGAGAGAGUCAAGGAGCUACGACGACAAUAUGUCCAGAGAGUUAUGGAAUUGAAGGCCAACCAGGCCCCUCAUGAAUUCAUUUACAUAGAUGAGGCAGGAUUCAAUCUAUCCUAAAGGCGUCGACGUGGACGAAAUAUAAUUGGAAAAAGGGCCACAGUUGAUGUGCCAGUACAGAGAGGGGCAAACAUUACCAUGUGUGCAGCAAUGGCAAAUGCAGGAUUACUCCUUCACAGAUGUCAGGUUGGACCCUAUAAUACCGAGCGCCUCCUUGCCUUUCUCAAUGAUCUCCACCAGCACCUGGUACCAGAGCAGGAUCAGGAAGGUGAAAACAUGAGGACCUUUGUAAUUACCUGGGACAAUGUUGCUUUCCAUCAUUUGCAAGCAAUAACAGCAUUACCCAAGACUGGUAAGUUACUUCCUUCCACCCUAUUCACCUUUCCUCAACCCCAUAGAGGAGUUCUUUUCUGCAUGGAGGUGGAAGGUUUAUGACCAUCAGCCACAUGACCAGAUGUCCCUCCUUGAAGCCAUGGAUGCUGGCUGCAG